rnacentral:misc_RNA from 1 species
GUAAUCCCCCUUGUUACGUUCUUUGUUACAUACUGUUACUAUUUUGAUCCCUCGCUCCUGCCAAGGAAACAAAAAAAGAAGCUAAAUGAACUCAGUCUGACUGACACUUUCAACUCAUCAUAUGCUUACAUUUAUGUACUGUUAGACAAACAUGUCUGUAUACUGGAUCUUCGGGGCUCGUUUGGAAUGCAGAAAUUUCACAGGAAAACACAGGAACAGAGAAAAAUUUCUGCAUUCCAAACAGGGCCUGAAAGGUGUAGUAAGUCAACAACAAAGGGAGAUAUAUAUCAACUCUCUUCUGAAUAUUCUAUGUCUGCGUCAUGAGCCAAAUGGUUUAUACCACUUUAUUUG